rnacentral:rRNA from 1 species
UACGAAGGGGGCUAGCGUUGCUCGGAAUCACUGGGCGUAAAGCGCACGUAGGCGGAUUGCUAAGUCAGGGGUGAAAUCCUGGAGCUCAACUCCAGAACUGCCUUUGAUACUGGCGACCUUGAGACCGGGAGAGGUGAGUGGAAUUCCCAGUGUAGCGGUGAAAUGCGUAGAUAUUGGGAGGAACACCAGUGGCGAAGGCGGCUCACUGGACCGGAACUGACGCUGAGGCGCGAAAGCGUGGGGAGCAAACAGG